GAAAAACAGAGAGAAAAGAAAACCAAAAACCAUUUCUUGGCUGGUUUGAAGAAAUUCUAAGGAGAUCCAAGUGAAAGCAAAGCCAAAGAAGUAGAUUAAGCUUAGUUCUAGCCUUUUUAUGAUAUUUCUUGGGGUUUCCAAGUGGUUUGAGGUUUAGAAAAGCUUGAAGAGAUUGUUUUCGCCGAAAAGUUGCUCGGAUAAGCACAUCAAUACCUAAGACAUCACUUGUUACACGGUGAAAUAUAUUGUGGACAAAAGGUAGAGAAAGAAAUAUGUGAAUGAUAUGAGGAGAACUGAAGCAUGGUCCUGACCCUGAUUUGUACAUAUGAACACAUCGACCUUUUUGUGGGUUAUUUCAGUUAUCAGUGAGAUGUUUGUAAUGAAGUAUGAAGUUAUGUUUUAAAAAUAAAUUGGGUUAUUUAAUACUUAUGUAUAAUAUGUUUGAGACACACUUUAUGUUUAAUGUAAAUAAUGUGAAAUAAGUUUUCAAGUUUUAAAAAAAAAAAAAAAUGUCCAAACUUCCGCAGAAAUAAAUUAUGAUAUAGUUUUAAAACGUAACACCUCAAAUAUGGUUUUUAACUAAAAUAAGUGAGGGUGUUACAAAUUCCUUUUUCCCACCUAUAUAUACAAGACCCUACUCUUCGUCUUCAUUUUUACCUUCGUUUACCAAGAGCAAGAAAAGAAGAAAAAAGAAACCAGAGACCUCCUCAUAAAAAGUUUCCAUUCUGUGAAUGUUUUCUCGGCCAAAGAAACAA